AUUGAGGACAGGGCCUUAUUUACCAGUCAUCCACACAUGAAAAUUGCGGAGAUGGCCAUUAGUCUGCAUGGAAACACUACAAAUUGGAGCAUAUUAUGUGAAAGGAGAGCAAGUUGGAAUGUCGGUAUUUCGGCUCUUCCACUCCUCCAUAAGAGGGUGAGCGUUUUUGAUGGUUUUGUGAGAGGGAAAUUUAUCACUCAGAGCUUAUACGGAAACAAAGCAUCUUGUUUCAGGGAAAGAUGAUG